CGCGGCCGUUGCUCUCCGUCCGUCAGGUGAGGCGGGAUGCGGGUCUGGGAGGGUGUUCUCUUCGUCGUCCUCCUCUCCGCGCCCCGGGAGGAGUCGCCGCGGAGCUAAGGGUUCGGCCCGGUCUGUUUCUGCGCCGAGGACGGAGGCUGGGCAUUCUUCCGAGGAGGAGCUUCGCUUCUGCCCGCGGGUGAAGGAGGAAGCCUUCGUCCUCCCAGCUCCCGCCGCCACAGCCCAAGCCACUGAGGAGGCAGCUUUACUUCUGAGGAGACGCGCCUGCCAGGGUCGCCCGUGGUCAUUCGGCAACCCGACGCCGGCCGCUGUGGGGAAUGGCAGGACCUCGAGGGGGAAACGGCUGCCACUUCCCGUCUCCCAGCCUAAUGGAUCUGGUGCUGUGAAAAGUAAGCGCCUGCAGGAAGCUAGCUAUUGCUGUUAUUGUGUGUUAUAAAAAAGGCUCUAAUGCUGUUUUUGGCCUGUUUAAUAACCAUUUAAUCCACGGGCUCAUUUAUUAUUUUAUCUGUUUCGUAAGAUUUAUAUACCGCUAGAUUGUAAAAACGACCUCGAAGCGGUUUACGGGGGGGAGGGGGAAGGCAAAACAAUAAAAUCAAGAAGCAAUAAAUCCAGCCUUGUACCAAACCUGAGAUCACCUUUUUACAGCUGCAUAGGUGCAACACAUGCCAUUGGUUUGAGAAACAAUGUCUAGGUGGGCUUUAGAAGUGGCAGCUUUCAGGAUACUUUGGAGAUGGGGAAUUCAGUUUAGACUUUUUAAAACUUUGGCACAGGGACUUGAGCUCAAGACUUGUGUCUCAAUUCUGAGCAGGUCUCAAGGCUCAAAGCUAGAUACUGUACUGUGCAAAUAGCACUGAGAAACACGGGUGCCUGCUAAUUACUGUACGGUAUUAGACUCUGAGGACUAGUUUGACGCCCCCUAAUGGUGAAAACUAUCCUCACAGCACAGGACCCUUACUGUUACCGUUUUGUACUUGCUUUAAAGUUAUGGAUUUUUUAAUCUCGUAUUUAGGAUGCAAUCCUAAUCCUACCUGCCUACCUGGGGGUAAACUCCUACAGAACUCAGUCAUUUUCUUGAGUAGAAAUGCUUAAGAUUGCAGAAAGACAUUCCAAUUUUUGGUGACUUGUGUACUCCAGUUUUAUAUGAGACAUUUAGUAAUAAAUGGAUGCCAGCAAAAAUAUAUUUAUGCCAGGAGUCAAGUAUACUUAGAAUGGGUCAAAUUUCUUUUGAUAGAGGAUAUGUCACAAAACUCGUUUGUGUCUCGUGUCUGUAACAAACUGUUUUCUCAUGAUGAUUUAUAGCUGUAAUUGUGAACAGGGAUAUUUAUUAACAUCACACUGAUCUCAGUACUGUAUGUAAUAAAAUAUCUGCUGUAUUGAUUUGUAAAAUGAAGGCUUAUCAAUACCUGAGAGCAAAUAUUUAUCUUGUUGCAUACUAGAAGAUAAACUUCUACGAGGCCAUUGGAUAUCAACCCAUGUGACAUGUCUGAGCCAUGACUGAUUAUUUUUCUCUACCCAAUAAGGAAAUAAAAUGUUUUAAAUGUAUAAUGAGAAUGGUUUGAGUGCACAAUCAAUACAUUCAGUUGCAUGUGCUUUCAGGCUGGAGAAUGUGGAUUGAAGAGUUUUUUAUUUCAUUGUUUUCAACUAAAGAAUGCGUAAUUGUAUGCAGCACAAUAUUUACUUGUGAGUUUGUACUGAGCUAUUUUUCUUUUUUUUUUUGCGGGACACGGGUGGUGCUGUGGGUAAAACCUCAGCGCCUAGGACUCAGCGCAUGGCCGGCGGUUCGAAUCCCCGCGGCGGGGUGCGCUCACGUCGUUCGGUCCCAGCGCCUGCCAACCUAGCAGUUCGAAAGCACCCCCGGGUGCAAGUAGAUAAAUAGGGACCGCUUACCAGCGGGAAGGUAAACGGCGUUUCCGUGUGCUGCGCUGGCUCGCCAGAUGCAGCUUGUCACGCUGGCCACGUGACCCGGAAGUGUCUGCGGACAGCGCUGGCUCCCGGCCUAUAGAGAUGAGCGCAUAACCCUAGAGUCUGGCAAGACUGGCCCGUACGGGCAGGGGUACCUUUACCUUUACUUUUUAUUUUUCUGCUUUAGGCUGCAAUCCUAUAUUCAUUUACCCCCAGGUGAAGUCCUGCUGAACUCAAACUAGGUUUACUUCUGUGUAGAUUUGUAUAGGAUUGUAAUGUAAAUGGCAGAACUGUAAC
rnacentral:lncRNA from 1 species